UACGUAGGGGGCAAGCGUUGUCCGGAAUCAUUGGGCGUAAAGAGCGUGUAGGCGGCCCGAUAAGUCCGCUGUGAAAGUCCAGGGCUCAACCCUGGGAUGCCGGUGGAUACUGUCGGGCUCGAGUCCGGAAGAGGAGUGUGGAAUUCCUGGUGUAGCGGUGAAAUGCGCAGAUAUCAGGAGGAACACCAAUUGCGAAGGCAGCUCGCUGGGACGUUACUGACGCUGAUGCGCGAAAGCGUGGGGAGCAAACAGG
rnacentral:rRNA from 1 species